rnacentral:rRNA from 1 species
GACGAACGCUGGCGGCGUGCCUAAUACAUGCAAGUCGAACGCAGUGGGGACGGGUGAGUAACACGUGGUUAACCUCCCAUCAGAGGGGAUAACACUUGGAAACAGGUGCUAAACCGAUACUGAUGGAUGGACCCGCGGUGCAGUAGCUAGUUGGUGAGGUAACGGCACACCAAGGCCAUGAUGCAUAGCCAGCCUGAAGGGGUGAUAGGCAACACUGGGACUGAAACACGGCACAGACUCCUACGGUAGGCAGCAGUAGGGAAUCUUCGGCAAGGGACGAAAGUCUGACCGAGCAAUGCCCAGUGAGUUAAGAAGGUUUUCGAAACGUAAAACUAUUUUGUGAGGGAAGCGGUAUCUGACCAGAAAGCCACGGCUAACUACGUGCCAGCAGCCGCGGUAAUAC